rnacentral:lncRNA from 1 species
AUUUCUAAGUGAUCUGAAUCCAUUCAUUUGCAUCUUGGGUCAUUAAACUCUAAUUGCUUAAUCUCAGAAUUGCUUGAAUCAGAACUAGAUGAUCCAAAUUACCACCAAGAAAUUACUAUCUCCGGCUACGAGCUUCAGCACCAAUCAGCAAAGUGAAUAAGUACUGUGCUUCUUCCAAUUUUCAUUCCAUUUGGAGAAGAAAGAAUAUCACACGUCAAAUAUCAGGACUGACCCAGAUGUCAAGCCUAGGGAAUAUAUCAUCAAGAACCUACUGACAUAAUUAACUAUUUAAGCUGACAGUGAAGUUGAAGUUGUAAUGGCUGAACCCUUGGAGGAGAUAUUGUCCAUAUUCUUCAG